rnacentral:rRNA from 1 species
AUUGAACGCUGGCGGCAGGCCUAACACAUGCAAGUCGAGCGGAUGAAGGGAGCUUGCUCCUGGAUUCAGCGGCGGACGGGUGAGUAAUGCCUAGGAAUCUGCCUGGUUGUGGGGUAGUAGGUGCGGAAACGGGCGCAAAUACCGCAUUCGUCCUGAGGACGUAAGUGGGGGAUCUUCGGAUCUUACGCUCUCAGAUGAGCCUAGGUCGGAUUAGCUAGUUGGUGGGGUAAAGGCCUACCAAGGCGACGAUCCGUAACUGGUCUGAGAGGAUGAUCAGUCACACUGGAACUGAGACACGGUCCAGACUCCUACGGGAGGCAGCAGUGGGGAAUAUUGGACAAUGGGCGAAAGCCUGAUCCAGCCAUGCCGCGUGUGUGAAGAAGGUCUUCGGAUUGUAAAGCACUUUUAGUGGGGAGGAAGGGCAGUAAGUUAAUACCUUGCUGUUUUGACGGUACCAAAAGAAUAAGCACCGGCUAACUUCGUG